rnacentral:rRNA from 1 species
UACAGAGGUGCCAAGCGUUAGGCGGAAUCACUGGGCUUAAAGCGUGUGUAGGCGGAAUUGUAAGUACCUUAUGAAAUCCCACGGCUCAACCGUGGAACUGCUCGGUAUACUGCUUUUCUUGAGCCACUUAGGGGCUGUCGGAACAAACGGUGGAGCGGUGAAAUGCGUAGAUAUCGUAAGGAAGACCAGUGGCGAAGGCGGGUCUCUGGACAGUUCCUGACGCUGAGGCACGAAGGUCAGGGGAGCAAACGGG